CCGGAACCCGUUUCUUGCGGAGGAAUUUUCUCGCCGUGCUUCGGUCAGCUACAAAAUUGUGAUCCUGGGGUCGUUACCUCGGAUAAAAUCCUAAGCAAGUUGGUAGAAAAACCCAAAUGUGGUAAUUUCUCGAUAUUACAGGGUCGCUGGAAAUCCUAGGGCCCGGGGUUGGGUUGGGACUCUUUACCUCGCGGCGGAAGAAUAUAGCUGCGGAGUUAGUUAAACCUCGCUUUCCCCGCCCGCCCUGCUCCUACGGGGUUUCCGCGUCCCUGACGCAGAGGCGGGCCGGGGGAGCCGCGCCGGAGCCGGAGGCGGAAACCGGAGAUGCUGUUCGUCGGGCGGCCGGGGCUUCCCGCGGGUGACAGGUCCCGGCUCGCGGCUCGCUGCCGGCACUCAGGUGCGGGAGGGGAACUCGGUUAUUCCGCUUGCUCCCACCGCUGUUUAAUUCCACAAUGAAGACCUGCCUGGCAUUUAGCCCGACCGUUAACAUCCAUUCAGAUCUUGGAAACGUAAAAUUCCUGCUAGGGAAAAUGUCGGCCACCCAGCGAGUCCCGGGAAGUCCGGUUUACCGGUACAUUUUGCAGCGCGAGAAGGAAAAAUGGAGUGUCAUUUGCAGAUGUCUCUGGAGUGGCCAAUUCUAUUCUCAUAUCAUUUCCGGUCUCUCGCUUUCUUUUUAAGAGUGUUACUGAUUUUAACCUAACAGGUGUGAGGAAUGCCUGAAAAAAAUCAUAAACUUUUGCAAAUGGAUAGAAACUAAGCAGUAAUUUUCCUUGGAACGCACGAAUUUAAAUGGACGCUUUGGCAGAUACAGCUCUGUGCCGCUUUGGGACUACAUCGGUUUUGAUUCCGUCUAUAUUGGUCAUUUUUUAAAGGCUGUAGACUUUGCCGAUAUAUAGUGAAAUGUUGAUUUAUUGAAAUUCAGAGCAAUAAUAUCCUUGCUGCGUAAACUGCACGGGUCUUUAAGCUCCAGACGUUUUCAAUUAGCCCCAUCUCAGGUCUCUCGACAAAAACAAAAAACAAUAUAUGUAGUCAUUUAACUUUAAAAUACAACCCUACCCAUGGUGCAAAAUAUCAUCGAGACUAUCAGGGUAACAUUUUCUCAUAUUUCAGAAGGCCAACUUAAAGAAUCAUUACUGGGAAAGCUGACUCAAUUUUCUAUAUUAUAGAAGAUAUUCGGUUCUAAAUACUACUUUUUUAAUACAAAAAUUAUUUAUUUAUUUGAAAAUUCUUAUCGUGCCAGGAACUAGGACAAAGAUUAAGAAUACCAAGAUGGCAAAGUGGGCCAGGCCCUCAGUCCAGUGGUACUGCUCCUCAUUCAUCCCUCUGUAAUGUUCGAAAUCCAGAUUUGAGGUGAUGCCAGAUAUUUUCUGAGAAUGAUGGUCGUCAGACAUCCUUGUUGUCUCAUCCAAAAUCUACUAAAAAUAUCCUGAGAUCUAAGAAAUUGAAAAAAUACUAAAUCGAAAAAGUGACCAACCGUUUGGUUUCACUUGAGCCUUAGGGUGAAAACAAUUGAUCAUAGGGUGAUACCAAUCAACAAUUAACACUUAAUCGUUGGUUGUUUUCUUUAGGAUUAGCACUACACUAGAUGGUGUAGGAUUUUCAAGUCUCUUAAGAGGAAAUAAAGGCUAAACUCUAUGGUAUAGGUUUACAAGUGCUAAGUAAGUUUCAAGGUAAGAAAACUUCAAAUACAGUCAAAAUCCACACCCACACUGCCUGUAA
rnacentral:lncRNA from 1 species